UGUCCCGGUGCCGCCCCUUGUCCCGGUGCCGCCCCUUGUCCCGGUGCCGCCCCUUGUCCCGGUGCCGCCCCUUAUCCCGAUGCCGCCCCUUAUCCCGAUGCUGCCCAUUCAGUUAGGUGGGUUUAGUUGGAGGGUGGUCAUUGGGUGGGGGAUACGGAAGCGGGGAGUGACUAUGGUGGUGUGGGGACAGCGUCCAGAGCCGGAGCCACCACCGUGGACAGAUGCCCACCCAGACCCUCCCCUAGACUUUUGGUGGUGCGUUCGGAGUACGCACCUUGAGGGGGGGGUUAUGUCACGUUCCUGACCUAUUUUUAUGUUAUUUUGAUUAUGUUUCGUUGGUCAGGGCGUGAGUUGGGGUGGGCAUUGUAUGUUGUGUGUGUUUGGUUAGUCCAUGGGUGUUGUAUGUGUAUGGGAUAGUGUUUGUUAGGUUGUCUAGUUAUGUCUAUGGCUGCCUAGAUUGGGUCUCAAUCAGAGACAGCUGUCAUUCAUUUGUCUCUGAUUGGGAGCCAGAUUUAAGGUAGCCAUAGGCAGUAGGCUUUUGUGGGUGUUUGUUCCUGUGUCCUCACAUGGACGGUUGAAGGUUAGUCACGUUUGUUGUUUUGUAGUUUUGUAGUGUUUUGUUUGCUGUUUUCAUUAAAAGAUGGCUUAUUUCCCUCAAUCCGCAUCUUGGUCCUAUCCAUGCUCCUUCUCGUCUAAGGGGGAGAACAACAUUGACUGCCUUUACAACAUGUCUGUGGAACUUGUUCAGUUUAUGUCUCAGUUGUUGAAUCUUAUGUUCAUACAAAUAUUUACACAUGUUAAGUUUGAAAAUAAACGCAGUUGACAGUGAGUAGACGUUUAUUUUUUUGCUGAGUUUAUAUUUGUAAUAAUGACAAUUAAAACAAUACUGAAUGAAAAAUGAACACUUAUUUUAACUCAAUUUAAUACAUAAAUAAAAUCUAUUUAGUCUCAAAUAAAUGAAACAUUUUCAAUUUGGUUUAAAUAAUGCAAAAAAUAAAAGGGCAAUAUGUGCCAAGUAAAAAAGCUAACGUUUAAGUUCCUUGCUCAGAACAUGAGAACAUAUGAAAGCUAGUGGGUCAAUAUUCCCAGUUCUUCAAUAUUCCCAGUUAAGUUUUAGGUUGUAGUUAUUAUAGGAAGUAUGACGCAUCAACUAUUUCUCUCUAACAUUAGUAUUUCAUAUACCUUUGACUAUUGGAUGUUCUUAUAGGCUCUUUAGUAUUGCAAAUCUAAUCUCGGGAGUUGAUAGGCUUGAAGUUAUAAACAGCGCUGUGCAUCAAGCAUUGCUAAGAGCUGCUGGCAAACGCAGUAAAGUGCUGUUUGAAUGAAUGCUUACGAGCCUGCUGCUGCCUACCACCACUCAGCCAGACCGCUCUAUCAAAUAUCAAAUCAGACUUAAUUAUAAUAUAAUAAACACAGAAAUAUGAGCCUUUGGCCAUUAAUAUGGUCAAAUCCGGAAACCCAUAAUUUCGAAAACAAAAAGUUUAUUCUUUCAGUGAAAUACGGAACCUUUACGUAUUUUAUUGAACUUGAAAUUGGCCCUAACAAGUGAAGGAAGAAGCAUCCAUAAAGAACGAAACGUUUAUUCUUUCAGUGAAAUACGGAACCGUUACGUAUUUUAUCGAACGGGUGGCAACCCUAAGUCUAAAUAUUGCUGUUACAUUGCACAACCUUUGUAACAGGUGGUCAGCCUGCCACGCAGUUUCCUCGUGGAUUGCAAUGUAAUCAGCCAUAAUCGGUGUCCAAAAAGGCUGAUUACCGAUUGUUAUGAAAACUUGAAAUUGGCCCUAACAAGUGAAGGAAGAAGCAUAGGGAAAAUGGGUGAAGGAAGGGUGGGUUUAUAGAGAUAAAAUGGAGAGUUCCAAAGUGUCUGAAGUUGAGGGACCAUUGACCAUGGGGCAUAAAUGGCAUAAUGGGGAGUUAGAGAGAUGGUUGGCCAUAGAAUAAACAUAAAAUGGGAUGCUGGUGUGUUUUGGCACCAUUUUAGAUCUGUCACAAAUAUCCGGCCCAAGUCGAGUCAUACUUGGAGGUCUCAGCGUGUGUCCCAAUGACAUCAGUCCGUCUCAGUUGCAUCAUUCAAAUCGUGGUCAUUGUGUGUCUGUGAAUCACAACAUUAAAGAUAAUGAGUGAUCACAGCAGUUCCACAAAUUGAACAAUAGACAUAACAACUUAACAUUACCCUGAAUUGUGAAUUUCUCUGCCCUCCACAAAUGUUGUGCCUCUUGUCGAGGUCAGUAGUGCCUUCAUAGUACUUUGCCUGGUUGGAAAGAUAAAAUAAAAUCUCCUCGAGUGAUGCCAUUGAAGUGUAAACUACAUACAAACAGAAAGCUACAAUAACAGUUAGCUAGCUAACAUUGGUAAAAAAAAAACAGUCUGGCUAGCUAGCUAGCUGACUAAGCAGGCUGAGGUAAAUACAGUAAGUACUGUAUAUAGCAACGUCAAUUUAAAAACAGCUUAAAUUAGGAAGGCUCAUGAUACUGGCAGGAACAAAGCGAAUGGAAUGGCAUCAAACACAUGGAAACCAUGUGUUUGAUGUAUUUGAUACCAUCCAACCCAUUCUGCUCCAGCCAUUACCAAGAGCUCGUCCUCCCCAAUUAAGGUGCCAGCAACCUCCUGUGAAACACAAAUAUAUGGUAAAGAAAGAGUGUUCUCUUUCCAGUCUUCUGAAGCAGUCAGCCUUCAAAAACAUAGAUUCUGAGGUAAUAAUUUUGCGCAGAAUGAGCGAGCGCUUAUGAGGUGAAAUAAAACUAGAUCUCCAUGACCGCUACGAGGUAAAAUAGAGCUAAGCAACCAGCAUAGCAAUGACCGCUUUGGUUCAUUACGUGGGUCGGUCAGAAUUUUUGCAAGUUCUAGUAACAGCCCUAGCAACCGAAGCUAGAACUCAUCGAAUCCCAUUGUGACGCAGGGGGGGGGACACUAUUUGGCAUGACAGGCCCACUCGGGAAAAAAUUGUCCCAAAAUGCCAGAUUGCCAGUCCGCCCCUGAUGAGGAAGAGACAAUUCACUGUUAAAUAUAAUUAACAUUUCUGCUACUAGUAUUCUCAUUUUUACUUUCAAAAUGAAAACAAAAAAACCCUACAUGGAUUCAGAGACUUCAGGCACGUUAAAGCAGAUUACACUAGUCAAUACCACCUUUCAAAGUGUGUUGCAUUACAUUUGAGUUAUUUAGCAGACACUCUUAUCCAGAGUGGUUUACUGUAGUGAGGGCAUACAUUUGAAUACUUUUUCAUACUGGUCCCCCGUGGGAAUCAAACCCACAACCCUGGCGUUGCCAUGCUCUACCAACUGAGCUACAUGGGAUAAAAACACAGGGAUUAAAAUUGUCCGACUUGUGACUACAUGUGGACUGCAAGAACUUGACAAAAUGAUGUGAUCAAAGUCAUGCAGAUUUUGAUGAAGUCGCUACAGUUGCUUCUCACCAACUGCAGCAUGCAGCCAUCACCUGCAUUGUGGGAGGCACUAUUUGUCAACCAAUCAUUAGGGUGUUUUUGUUUGAAUGUGGCCAAAGACCUCUGCUCUCUCUAACCAAUUAAAAAUGCACUAUGCAGAAAUUGCUCCACAAUUUCCUGCUAGCUAAAAUUCUAAUAGUUUGCCUAAUUUCAGUUUAGUGUUUAGAAUCAUUGUACAAUCUAAACCAAUGUGAAAUAUAUUUUCCAUAACCAAAAAUCUUGUAUUUUCAGCUGUUUGAAGCUGGUGUACAAAACCAUAGAAGCCGGAAGUAGGGGUGCUGAGGGUGCUGCAGCACCCCCUGAAAAAUCUUUAUUUUUAAAAUUAUACAGACAUCUAUAUUAGCGGACCGAUAUAGAUGUCUGUAGCAUGAGCAAAACUAUUUUUGGCAAAAAAGGUAGUUGUAUAAUUACGAACAGUAUCUUGCAGGAUUCAAUAGUUGGAAGUGUAAGAGUUGUUGCUCUGUCCUUUUCUCUGCUAUUGUCAUUUUAAUGGCAUCCAUAAAGAACAAAACCCUGUUCUCAAACAUCCACAUAAAAGGUGCAAAGUUAUGGGAAAAGACACAAAACAUCCACAUCAAAUUAAAUAUUUUUCUUGAUCAAAUAACAUGGAGAACAACCACUUUUUGUGCAGUAUUAUUUUACCAUCCUUACAAACCCCUUAAUGUAAAUGUACAUUACUAUAUUGUACAUAGGCUGGUCAUCUAGUUUUGUACCUGUGGACUUUCCAUCACCAUGAAGAAGAACAAUACAGUAAUUGAGUACAUUCAAACAAAAAGUCAUUUGUGAUGAUGUGGCUCAGUUGGUAGAGCGUGGCGCUUGCAAAAUUAGGGUUGUGGGUUCAAUUCCCAUGGGGAACUAGUAUGAAAAUGUAUGACCUCACUACUGUAAGCUGCUCUGGAUAAGAGCAUCAACUGAAAAGGAAUGAGUAAACUAUUUCAGUUUUCACAUAGAAAACAAAGCAAGUAUUUCUAUUAUUUAUUUAUUACCCAAGUAUUUAUAUUACACAAGUAUUAUCAGAUUAACUGUUUUGUACAGACAAUUAUAAGACUCCAGUCACAAAUGCUUGUAAACACUUUUAAACACUUUUUUAUUUUUAUUUUUAACAUUUAGGUUUUUUUUCAUUCACAAAAGUACUGCACUGGGCCUUUACUAGUCCUGUAUUAGUGGACUAAUAUAGACGUCUUCAGCAGGGGCAUAAUUUUUUUUUGCAUUCCACCGUUAGCAAAAUAAUCACAGCAACUAAUUGCCGUGGCUAUGGUGCUGAGGUUGCUUCAGCACCCCCUGAAAAAUCUGAAUAAAAUAUAUUUUUUUAAACAAAAAUCGUUUUAUUUUUGCAUCAAAUUAAUGCACUGGGCCUUUAAUAAUCCUGUAUUAACCUACUGGUUAUAGCCGGCAAAAAUAAAUUUAAGAAUGGGAAACAUAGAAAAAGUGCACAUAGAACAGAUCUACAUCUUCUUAGACUUGCUUUUAAUGAGAAUGACAGAUCUAUAAUUAACAUUUAUGUGAAUUUGGUUGGGUCGCCCAAAAAGUUGCAUACUGCAGCUUUAAUAGUACCCAUGUUAUGCUAUCAGUUUGUGAGUGUGUGAUAUGGGGGUAUAUGAAGAAGUCUGCUUUGUUAGGCUUACUACUCGAACACUUCAUUCUGUCUUUAAAAUGUUGAGUCAUGGGUAACCAUAUAAGUGGAGUGUGUCUGAAAGUGGGCGUUACGAAAGAAGUGGGUGGAUCAACAGACGUUGGACUGUGGAAAACGAAUCAGCUAAUUUGGGCAGAUUUGUUGACACCGUUUUGCAUGGCAGAUUGCGUAGACAACUAGAUAAACGGUGGACAACUAGAUAAACCGGUGUAGCAUUUUAGCUAAGCCUAACCCAUAGAGAUAGAUAGAGGACUCAUCUUUAUCUCUGCCAUUAUAAUGUCUGUGACUGCAUGGGCAGCGCCAUUGAGGCUACAACCUAUAGGAAUCCCCACCCAGUUGACUACUACUUUAAAAUGUCUGAAGCAUGCUGGAAGCCCUCAAUGGCGCUGCCCAUGCUAAAAACAGCCUUUGGCCACUAGAGGCCUCUAUCAUUCCAUGGCUUAACUAGAGUUAACUAGAGUUUCCUAAAUGUAACCUCAUUCUCAUAACCUGACACAUUAAUUCUCCUAACCUGUUGCGUUAAUUCUCCUAACCUGCCACAUUAGUUUUCCUAACCUGCUGCGUUAGUUAUCCUAAUGUGCCACAUUAAUUGAGUCCCACAGUAUGAGUCAUAAUACCCAUAAAACCUAGCGGUCAAACACAGAAAUGGUUCCAAUUGUUUUUCCAUCAUUCAUUUUAUCCAUUGUGGAUGUUAGAAACAUUUCAAACAAGGGCUGUGUUUUGUUUUAUAACCAUGUUAAUCACUCUCGGACAAAGUGACUUUUAUCAAUAUAUUUGCUGGUAUUUAACCCCCCCCAAAAAAUAAAUGCCAAUGUGGCUGUCAUGCAGAACAACAAAUUCCUGUCUGAAGCUUCACGUUACUCACCAGGGCCAUGAUGAUCUGGAUAAGACUACCAAAUCAAGGUUAGAUUAGCUGUCUAUUUGUCUAGCCAUUUAAAUGCAUUAUUCAUAAAAAACAGUUGAGCUUUCUUUGACUUUUAUAAACUAGCAGUCCAGCUUGCUAGUUAACUAGCUAGAUAACCUAGAUGGUGAAGCUAAAGCUAGGUGUUCUUGAUAAUGUUUGUUUGUGGGUGAGUCUAUUUCUAGUACUGCUUGACUUCUAACUACCCUAACUAGCUGUAUUAUUUUAGUCUGUCUUUUUGAGCGGUUGGACUGAUUAGCAUCCUCCCGAGUCAACCAUGUGCUUAGUUUACUGCGGGAAAAUAUUGAUAUGUUUGUUGUUACCCUCUGGACAGCAGAUCAUUAGUAUAGCUAGUAGGCAAGGUUAUGUAAUCUUAUUUAAUCUUACCUACUAUGGUGGGUUUUAAAUUAAUUGGUAUUAAUUUAAAAGCAGCUGUGAACCAGAAGACUGUAGCCAAGACAACACUGGUCCACACCUGCCCUAUCUGUCGGGUAGUACUGUUUGGUACUGUAUGUGCCUUUAGGUUCCUUUCUAUGUGUAGGCUAUUGUACUAGUCUGUGUGGUACAGUCUUUCAUAUGUGUUGUAGUUUGUCUCAACUUUGAAUUCAAUCUAAGCCACAGAUUGUUAACUUCCUCCAUUUUGUACUUAGACAUUCAAGCAGCUCUUUGAGCAAGUUUCCAAGGGUCCCAGUACUGGUUGAUGUGCAGGGCUAAGUGACCACACACACUCAAAUGGACCUACAGCUGGGAUAAGAUUCUUCCAUCAUUCACACACACAGUAGACAGUGUAAACCACCAUGUUGUCAACAAAAUGCUGUCCUCAAUGCUUAAGCAGUCAACUUCUGUUAGAUUACUUGAAGGAUUUAGCUAUGUACAACCAUUUCCAUCUAGCUAGUUGGUCAUAUACAUGUUGCUAACUCUACAUGUAGCUAUACAGUAUGUCUGUCAUAUUGAGGUAUAUAGCUAUAAGUAAACCCUGAUCAAUCAAAUGGAAAGGUGUAAGUAAUUAUCGUAAUUCCAACUGCCCUUAACUAGGUGUCUUUGCUAGACACAGAGAGGGGGGAGAGGAAGAAAGUGAGAAAGAAUGAGAGCGAGAGAGAGGUGGGAAGUAAGUGGAAGACAGACAGAGAGAUGGAGACAGCAGUGCAAAUUUACUUGGACUUGAGUAUUUCAACAACUCUUCUCUUCCAACUUGUUAGGCAAUAACAUGUACCUACAAUGAAUGGCCAGCCACACAGGAGUGUCACGGUCAUUUAAAGGAGUGGACCAAGGCGCAGCGGUUUAAGCGUACAUACUUCUUUAUUUAACGAUGUCGCCAACAAAACAAUAAAUAUCCCAACGACACGCCAACGUAGUGCAACUAAACAUGGACAACUACCCACAAAACCAACAUGGAAAAUGGCAACCUAAAAUAGGCUCCCCAAUCAGAGACAACGAUAAACCCAUUCAGGCCACCAUAAACCUACAUACCCCUAGACAAUACAAAAUCCCCAUAGAUAACCAAAAACCCUAGACAAGACAAAAACUAGACAAUACAAAACUAAACAAACCACCCUUGUCACACCCUGACCUAAGCAAAUAUAACUAAAGUCAGGGCGUGACAAGGAGGGUGAUUUUCACGAAGGAAAGGGAGGCCGUUCUGACCGAGAUGCAUGCUGGCCAUUUCGGAGUGAAACGCAUGAUUGCCAAAAUCAACCUACGCUUCUUCUGGCGUGGGAUUGUCAAUGAUGUGGACAGCUGGGCAAGUGAAAUAAUCUUUGGUUUAUCAAUCACAUUCUAUUAUAUCUGAAAUUAUUAUGAUUUCAAUUAAUGUCAUAUUAGAGAGCACCCAAUGUUUCAAUUUGUCACUUUCAUGCUUAAAGGUCCGUAACUGUCUAGCCUGCCAGAAGUUUGAGGGUGACUGUGGCGCCUGAAAUUUAUGAAAGUUGUUUCACAAUGGCCCAUGAUCGGUAAAUGUCACAAUUCAAAUUUUGCCAUGAUAAGUUGUUUUGUAAUGGUUGCUUUAUUUGACCACAGUAGAGUUCAAUAUUAUAGAAUCUGUCUAUGCCACCUCCAAGGUGAUGAUGGACAUCAUCAUCAUCCUCCAGGUUUGCAUGAACGAACCAACCAGACCCACAAGACCGCCAUGGGAAGAGGUCAAUGAAGAUUCAAGAUACAUUUGGCCUGUUUUGCUAUUUUGUUAAGUAUUUAUCAGUCAUAUUGCUUUGGAAUAGAAGCUGUUCAAGAGCUUGUUGGUGUCAGACUUGAUGUACUGGUACCUCUUGCCGUGCGACAGCAGAGAAAGGUUUAUGGCUUGGGUGGUUGAAGUCUUUGACAAUUUUCUGAGCCUUCUUUUCACACCGCCUGAUAUAGAGGUCCUGGGUGGCAGGGAGCUCGGCCCCAGUGAUGUACUGGGCUGUCCUCACAACACUCUGUAGCGCCAUGCGAUCGAGUGCGGUGCUAUUACCAUACCAAGCAGCCAGUCAAUAUGCUCUCAAUGGUACAGCUAUAGAACCUUAUCAUGAUUUGAAGGUAGUUAUGGUAGUUAUGCUGAGUUUAUAAAAAUGUACCUCUUCAAUUUACCUCUCCAAAUGACUUUAGGACUAUUGACUGUCCGAGCCACCCAGGAGGUAUCCCAUCCACCAGAACCAGCGAGUUCGGGUCAGUCUGAUUCUCUGUGCUCUGAGUCGGAGGGAGACCAGCUUCAGGACCUAGGGGUUCUGCCUAACACCCAAUUGUGGAUCCACCCGAGUUCAUCCAUUACCAACCACCCUCCAAAUGUUCAUUACAUCAUCUACAGCUACUGUUAUUGUCUUGUUGUUAUUAUCUGCAAAAAAAGUUCUUGCUCUAUCAUACUUGGUACAUAAUGUGAGAUACACAGAUGGAUUAAAAACACUAGCACUGCAAACACUCAGAACAAAGAUAGCAGCAGUGCCUAGACUUUGCAGUAUCCCUCUUCAAGUCCCCUUUCCGAGACUGGCUGCCUGUUGAGAACAAGUGACAGUCAGAACCUCCCACCCACACAGCACCCACCUCCUCUCUAUUCAACUCACCAGAAUUCAGUAUAAGUUUGCCAUGUGAGUGUACAACAACAACAAAAAAUCUGAAAAUAAAUGAAUGACACAACUGUA